rnacentral:rRNA from 1 species
AUGCCGACAAUCAGCGUCGGCCGUGACCGCCUCUUCGCCGCACUCGGCAGGGUCUAUACGCAAGACGAAUUCGAGACACUCUGCUUCGAUUUUGGCAUCGAACUCGACGACGUGACAACAGAGAAGGCCAUUAUCCGGAAGGAGAAGCACCUGGAGGAAGAUGUCGAAGCGGACGGUGAUGACGAGGUCAUCUACAAGAUUGAGGUUGCUGCCAAUAGAUAUGAUUUGUUAUGUCUUGAAGGAUUAGCAAGAUCUCUUCGCAUUUUCACUGGGAGUGAAGCAACCCCUACAUUUAAAAUUGCUUCAAUCCCCCGUGGUUCAAUGCUUCAGAUGCAUGUUAGACCGCAGACGUCACAAAUUAGACCAUAUGUAGUUUGUGCUGUCCUAAGAGGAGUAACUUUUGAUGAAGUCAGAUACAACAGCUUCAUUGAUCUUCAAGACAAACUCCAUCAAAAUAUUUGCCGGAAGAGAACUCUUGUUGCUAUUGGUACCCAUGAUUUGGACACUCUGCAAGGACCCUUCUCAUACGAGGCUCUACCACCACAGGAAAUCAAUUUUAUCCCAUUAAAACAGGAGCAAACGUUCAGAGCGGAUGCAUUGAUGGAUUUCUACAGAUCUGACAUGAAGUUGAAGAAGUUUUUGCAUAUUAUCGAGAAUUCUCCAGUUUACCCAGUUAUAUAUGAUAGCAACAGAACUUUAUUAUCGUUACCUCCUAUCAUCAAUGGUGCACAUUCUGCUAUCACCCUGAAGACAAGGAAUGUGUUUAUCGAAUGCACUGCUACAGACCUUACAAAAGCAAAUAUUGUUCUGAAUACAAUGGUCGCAAUGUUUUCGGAGUACUGUGAAAAUAAGUUUGAAGUGGAACCAGUUGAAGUGGUAUCUCAUGAUGGAAGCACAGCCAUUUAUCCUGAUCUUUCAUGUUAUAAAAUGGAAGUUUCGCUCUCUGAUAUUGUUGGACCCAUUGGAAUCUCCCUAGAUGAGACGCAGGUUAUCUCCCUUCUGAACAAAAUGCAAUUGCAAGCGGAACUUUGUUCAUCAAAUGGGGAGCCUUGUAUUUCGGUGUCUGUCCCUCCUACAAGAAGUGAUGUUCUGCAUGCUCGUGAUCUAGUAGAGGAUGUUGCUAUAGCUUAUGGGUACAACAAUGUGCCAAAAUCAAAACCAAAGUCUAUGACAAUUGGUGGAAGGCAACCACUGAACCGUUUCUCUGAUAAAAUUCGUGCUGAGGUUGCAAGAGCUGGUUAUAUGGAGGUGCUCACAUUUGUUUUGACUUCACACGAAGAGAACUUUGACAUGCUAAACAGGACAGACAAUGGAAAUAAAGCAGUCAUUAUUGCAAACCCCCGUACUUCUGAAUUUGAGGUUGUAAGAAGUAGUCUGAUGUCAUGUUUGUUGAAAACGCUGAAGCAUAAUAUAGACCAUCCAAGACCCAUAAAGAUUUUUGAAGUUGGUGAUGUAGCGUCAUUGGAUACUUCACGUGAUGUUGGUGCCUCUAAUAAUCGCCGGCUUGCAGCUUUGUACUGUAAUAGUAAUUCUGGAUUUGAGGAAAUUAUGGGUUUGGUGGAUAGGAUUGUCAAAAUCGUGAGAGCUCCACACAUAAAUUUCGGCCAGACUUACUAUGUUCCUUCAAGUGAACCCGAGUUCUUUACUAAAAGACAAUGCAAAAUUGUUAUGAGUGAUGGAAAGCAGGUUGGCUACUUAGGAAUUGUCCAUGCUGAGGUGCUAAGAAAAUUUGGCAUUCCGGACCCCUGCACCUUCGUUGAGAUUGACAUUGAGGCUCUUUUGUAG